rnacentral:tRNA from 4 species
GCCCAGGUGGUGAAAUUGGUAGACACAAGGGACUUAAAAUCCCUCGGAACUUAUACUUCCGUGUCGGUUCGACUCCGACCCCGGGCACCA